ACAUGCUUCAUAGUUACAGAUUCCCGUCGAACGCAAAUCUAUCAAUAUAAAAAAAAUUCGCACGUUUCUUUUUUCUGUUCUAUUUCAUCUUCCAUUCACAGUAGAAUUCUUCUUUAUGUUGGACUCUUGAUUUCAACACUUAUCCAACUAAUUAGAAAACAAUUUCUUUGAAUAAUUUGAUCCAAAAGCAGUGGAUAUCUUCGAGCAAGUGCCAUGAAAUAAAAUCUUCAUCUUCUUAAAUUCCUAUAUGAUUGUGGACGACUUUAAGCAAAUAAGUAGAUAAGUGGGAAGAUUUUCAAUAUAAUUGGACUCCUCAAAAUUUCAGACUUCGUUCUUGAGAAGUAUAAGACUUCUACUUGUCAUGGGAAGCUAAAAUUCGUAAUUUUUUUGUAAACUCAGACGAAAAUCUGCAUCCUAAACAUUCUUCUCGUUGUUUCCUUUCUUUGGUGUUGAAGUCUUGGUGAGCUCUUCUUUCCAUGGCUUAGAGAAAUCGUUCAUGUAUUCUGCCCUCCACAUGUUCGACGAAUUGCUUGAAGAGGAUUUUCACUACUUUUGCCUUGCUUUCUUCGAUCCUUUUUUUUUUUGUUCCUGAUUAGGCUUCUUGUUUGUUCUUGCAGGGGAUCAACUGUUCUUGCGGCGGCGGUUUUUUUGGCUUCGAUUUUGCAGCAGUCAUUGGCCUUUUUAGCGGGCGCAUCAACAGUCGGAACCAGCUUGGAACGUAGAGGGAGUGGAGUUGAGAGGCUUCUCGCAGGAUUUCAGGAUGUGGGGACCGAAGCGGAGAAAACAUGACGGUGAACCAUGGCAGCAGUGCGACGUCUAUCCCAGGCAACAGCGGCGUCGACAUAUUUUGAAAAGAAGGAGAGAAGUGGAGAGUGCAGACUCGAUUAUGUUUCUAUGGCGACCUUCAGUUUGAGUGCGAGCGUUGGAGAAACAUGGAUAGCUUGUGGCAAUCGCCGACUUCUUCGGAAUGGACGCAGCAGCAGCAGGAACCGGCUUUGAGCACGGAGGGAUGGAGUGGGGUUGUACUCGGUGAGGGAGUUGCUUUGCUUGAUCACAUUCGAGCGUGGAGAGAAGCGGCGGUGGGAGUUGGAUCUGGCUCCUCAAUCAAAUGACAGCAGCAACAACAUGAUUAUGGAAUUGGUGAUUUUGCACGCAUCCAUUGAAAAGCCGUGGAGUUUUUUUUUUCAUAUAGAAGUUUUAUGUUGCCCCAACUUCAACUAUUAUUCGAGUGCAUUCAACCGAGGAAUUUCACUGAUACAAAUUGAUGGAGUGCAUUCAACCGAAGAAUUUUGCUGAUACAAAUUCGAGGGAUUUCUUCAUCUACUCAUCGGAGCUUCUCAAUAUGGAUUGGAUAAUGUUUACCUUGCACCUUUAGGUGGCUCCCAAUUGGCAUUUAUUCAGAUUCUGGGUGCGCUCGAAUCUGGGCCAUUGUGAGUCUUGCCUUUAAAGAUUGCUGGUUACAUCUUUCUCAUUGUGUGCUUCUAUGUGGACUAGAUGACUCAAUUCUUUAAUAGGUCUUGGGUGCGCUCGGACCUAGGAUUGCUCGAGUCUAGUUCCAAUGGAGUUGUUACUUUUGGCGAGCGCGUGCUUCCACUCCGCUACUACCGGUUCAAGGAGUUGUUACUUUUGGUGAGCGCUUGCUUCUACUCCAUUCCGAGGCGUCAUAAAGCUCAAAGCUCGAUACAUACGUUGGAAGCAAGGUGAAGCACUCCGCAUCGGCGCAUACUUUGGAAGCAAGGAGAAGCCCUCCAUAUCGAUGUAUACUUUGGAAGCAAGGUGAAGCACUCCGCAUCGGCGCAUACUUUGGAAGCAAGGCGAAGCCCUCCGCAUCGGCGCAUACUUUAGAAGCAAGGCAAUGCACUCCGCAUCGGCGCAUACUGUGGAAGCAAGGCGAAGCCCUCCGCAUCGGCGCAUAAGGCUCAAAGAUCAAGUUUAAGAAGAUCGAAGGCACAACUCUCGAGCUCAGAGACCAUCCAAGAAUCAACUUGAAGAUUGGAGAGAGCUCUUUCAAAGUGUGCUGAAGCUAGAUGUGGAGACGCGGAGUUUAAAUUUGAUCAAGAAAAAGCUUUGAAGGUUUGGACCCGUUUUGUCACUUGCCUCUUCACUUGUAUUAUUCCAUAACUUUCAAGCAACAUUCAUUGUUUCUUAUGAAUUAAUGUACCAUUUAACUUCAA